UACGUAGGUGGCAAGCGUUGUCCGGAUUUACUGGGCGUAAAGGGCGUGCAGGCGGUUUGUUAAGUGCAGGGUGAAAGCUCCCGGCUCAACUGGGAGAGGUCCUUGCAUACUGGCGAACUCGAGGGAGGCAGAGGAAAGUGGAAUUCCAAGUGUAGCGGUGAAAUGCGUAGAGAUUUGGAGGAACACCAGUGGCGAAGGCGACUUUCUGGUCUGUAACUGACACUGAGGCGCGAAAGCGUGGGGAGCAAACAGG
rnacentral:rRNA from 1 species